GCAGAAAUGAAACUCUUGUCCUAUAAAAGGCAACACACCAAAAGCUUCUCAGUCAAUUCUAAAAUAAUCAGCAGAAAUGAAACUCUUGGCGUUAGCAUUGAGUCUGUGCCUCAUCUGCAGCGUUUAUUCCGCACCGCAAGGCAGAUAUGAUCCACCGCCGAUCAACCCCGAUGAUAGAAUCUGGCCUCCACCUGACCUGAUCGAUCCCGAAUUUGGACGCGGGAGGUGAAGUGAAGUUGCUUCAUAACUUAAAGUACGAAACUAAUUUGAUAAAAGAGCUGUUAUUUUGUAUACUUAAAGUGCGUAAUAAACAUACAUACAAAUGUUAGUUUUGUAA